rnacentral:rRNA from 1 species
CCUACGGGCGGCAGCAGUAGGGAAUUUUUCACAAUGGGCGAAAGCCUGAUGGAGCAACGCCGCGUGCAGGAUGAAGGCCUUCGGGUUGUAAACUGCUUUUAUAAGCGAGAAAUAUGAUGGUAACUUAUGAAUAAGGAUCGGCUAACUACGUGCCAGCAGCCGCGGUCAUACGUAGGAUCCGAGCAUUAUCCGGAGUGACUGGGUGUAAAGAGUUGCGUAGGUGGCAUAAUAAGUAGCUAGUGAAAUCUGGUGGCUCAACCAUUCAGACUAUUAGCUAAACUGUUAAGCUCGAGACCGUUAGGGGUAACUGGAAUUUCUAGUGUAGGCGUGAAAUCCUUAGAUAUUAGAAGGAACCCCAAUAGCGUAGGCAGGUUGCUGGGACGGUUCUGACACUAAGGCACGAAAGCGUAGGGAGCAAACGGGAUUAGAUACCCCUGUAGUC